ACAGGACUGGAUGACGGUGUAAAUAGGAGGCUGAGAGGUGGGCCCCACUGCUGACAGGUGGUUCCCACGUACGUAUGACAGUGUGAAAGUGACGCCGCUCUAGGCCUGCAAUAUUAAGGGCAUGUUUGAGAAGGCGAAGCUAGGUUGAAGUCAUUUUUUUUCAUCGAUGUAUAUGGUCAAAAACUAUAUGCACAUAUGCUGUGCAUCCACGCGAAUAGUUGGUGCGUGUGAGCAUGUUCAGUCAUGUCAGCAUUCAUGCAUCGGCCCUGAUUGAACCGACGGCUAUAUACGAUGUACUACGACACCCCAUUCGAGCACACACCAUUAACCAUCAAUCCUGUCGAUGGAGACGCCGCCGCUGAAGACAUCAGUCAGCGCCGUCGACGACUGCAGCGACGACUUGAGGAGCAUCACCGCCUGCGCAUCGAUCAAAAAGUUCAGAACUUGUCGUCAGAGACAUGCCUGCGCAUGCGACUUUGAACAGUGGAAUGGACGCGCAACGUAGCAGUGCAUGAUGGCGGAGAUGGUGGACAUGGGCGCGACGGUGAGGUCGUCCAUCACCAGGGAGAAGAAAGAUGCUGCUCCGGGUAAGGUGAUUGGAGACGAAGGGAAGGCGGCUUGGUAUAUUUGCGGUUGAAGCAUGCUGUGCUCUUCACCCGAUGAACCGGCAACGUUGCCGUAAGAAUCUGGAACAAGGCGUCCUUUUCUUCAUCCAUGCAGAAGCUGGAGAAUCAAGUUUCAGCACCCAAAAAAAAAGAUGUGACCGGUCACUUCUAACACAAUAAGCACUGACGAGGACCAGAUCAAAUUCAUUAGAGGCAUAUACAAUCACUAGCAGGCACCACAGUAUCAGGCAUCAGAAUACAAGAUCAGCA